AACGAACGCUGGCGGCAGGCUUAACACAUGCAAGUCGAACGCAUCCUUCGGGGUGAGUGGCAGACGGGUGAGUAACGCGUGGGAACGUGCCCUUCAGUUCGGGAUAACCCAGGGAAACUUGGGCUAAUACCGGAUACGUGCGAGAGCAGAAAGAUUUAUCGCUGAAGGAUCGGCCCGCGUCUGAUUAGCUAGUUGGUGGGGUAAUGGCCCACCAAGGCGACGAUCAGUAGCUGGUCUGAGAGGAUGAUCAGCCACAUUGGGAAUGAGAUACGGCCCAAACUCCUACGGGAGGCAGCAGUGGGGAAUAUUGGACAAUGGGCGCAAGCCUGAUCCAGCCAUGCCGCGUGAGUGAUGAAGGCCUUAGGGUUGUAAAGCUCUUUCGUCCGGGACGAUAAUGACGGUACCGGAAGAAGAAGCCCCGGCUAACUUCGUGCCAGCCGCCGCGGUAA
rnacentral:rRNA from 1 species